rnacentral:lncRNA from 1 species
CCAGGCCCCGCCCCCGCCUACUGCGGCAGCAGCCUCGAUACAUGACGCGCAGGUCCGGUAGGUCCCGCCCCGCCCCUCCACAGACCACGCCCCCACGUACUGCGGCAGCGGCCCCGGUACAUGACGCUCAGGUCCGGGUGGCCGCGGCAGCGCGCGGCGCGCAGCUCGCACUCGUCGCGGUAGGUGGCGCCGUCUGAGCCGCAGACCUGCAGCCGCGCCGGGAGCCCCGAGCAGUCGGGCGCGCACUCGCAGCGCGGGCGGCCCCCCAGCAUGCGGCACGCCUUGCCCGGGCCGCACUCCACGCCGUCGCACGAAUCUGCGGACAGAGGACACGCGCGUGGGGCCGGGCGCGGGAGGGUCCCGGGCGUGGGGCCGCGCGAAGGCCUCGGGGCCCCUCCCUGCGCCCCUUCUGCAGGGUGGAGGCGGGGGCGCCGUCCCAGAUUCAGCAAACACUGUUUCCAGCAGAGGCGUUUCCAACAAUGUAUGACAGCGACAUCUGCGUGGGCCUGGAGGCGCUGCGCCCGAGGGGGCUUUCGUGCAGCCAGACACAUUUCCUACUCUGGAGCUGAUUCUGUCAUGGGGGCUUCCAGAUUUGUCAGGCGCCCUUGGCGAGCGCAGGGGAGCCCCUCUGUUCCUGCUUCUAGGGCAUCAGUGAACAUCUCUGUUGGCCAGAGGGACCCUGCGGGGUGCUGGGGUGCCACGGUGACCAAGGCAGACCCCAUCACACCCUCACCGAGCUCCUGGUUUGGAC